rnacentral:rRNA from 1 species
AUGAGAUUUGAGACUAAUACAAGCUCAACUCUUAAUUUUCAUUCGGAGGGAGGGAGGGGUCAAGAUUUUCUCACCCCUUUCUGGCCAAUGUGCUCGGCCAUCUGGCCGCUGGCGAUGGCCCCAACCAUGGCGCUGACUUGGACAGCGAGCCGAACGCCAAGAACUGACGUGCAGGCACGAAGUUACUCAACAUCUUUAAUCCAAGAAGAAGUCGAAACAGAGCAAGCAUAUAGGCUCCAGGCACUACCUUCUCAUAGUUUUCAAUUUUUUUAUAAAUUACUUUCAGUUCAAUCUGCUUCUCAUGAUUUCCGCAAUCUUCAAAUUCAACUUGUGUUAGAGGCUUCAGUUCUUACAGCAUAUGAUACUUGCUUGAUCAUCAUGUACAUUGUAUAA